rnacentral:lncRNA from 1 species
GCUGACCUUAUGAUCCAAAGGAAGACUGUCGGGAAAUCUCAGGAAGCCAAGUGGGGAUGACCCACCACACUGAGACAGUGGUGAGAGCGGAUGUGAAGGGCUGGCUCAGGGAUCCUGGCCUUUCCUGCCUCUCCCGUGGGGAAGGGCAGACCCAGCAGGAAAGGGUCACACAAAGAGAUAAGAGGAGCAGCGUGGGCACGGCUCACCAGUGGGCGUGCUCUCCUUCUCCGUGUGUUAUCUGUUAAAAAUCCCUCUUUGGGGUGCCCUCAGGUACUCAACUU